UACAGAGGGUGCGAGCGUUAAUCGGAUUUACUGGGCGUAAAGCGUGUGUAGGUGGCUUUCUAAGUCGGUUGUGAAAUCCCUGGGCUCAACCUGGGAAUUGCAGUCGAUACUGGAAAGCUCGAGUUCGGUAGAGGACGGCGGAAUUCCCGGUGUAGCGGUGAAAUGCGUAGAUAUCGGGAGGAACAUCGGUGGCGAAGGCGGCAUCCUGGACCGAGAUUGACGCUGAGGCGCGAAAGCUAGGGUAGCAAACGGG
rnacentral:rRNA from 1 species